UACGUAGGGAGCGAGCGUUGUCCGGAAUCAUUGGGCGUAAAGAGCGUGUAGGCGGCCCGGAAAGUCUGGUGUGAAAUCUUGAGGCUCAACCUCAAGCUGUCACUGGAAACUAUCGGGCUUGAGUUCGGAAGAGGAGAGUGGAAUUCCUGGUGUAGCGGUGGAAUGCGCAGAUAUCAGGAGGAACACCUAUGGCGAAGGCAGCUCUCUGGUACGUAACUGACGCUGAGACGCGAAAGCGUGGGGAGCAAACAGG
rnacentral:rRNA from 1 species